ACGUGGCCUUCUGUAAGUCAGACUACUGAUGCAUCAAGAAAGGGUUAAAGACAACGGAGACAGACGUAUGCGCGCCGGAGGACGGGGAACAGGAUCUGCCUCUCUGCGCUCUGAAGGAACCUGCUUGCGCGCGAGGACAUCCUGGACCAAACUCAACGAAAUACUGUCUUCAGAAAGUCUCAACAGAGAUCAUCAGUCACCUAAACGAGGAGAGCAGCCCUGUGUGGCAAAGGACACGUAGAAAGAAAAGAGCUACUGUACAAGCUGGAAAUGUGCCUGUUAUCCAUGUUCAUGAUAUUGUAUUAAUGUGUGUGAUACAUAUACAUUAUUUUUAAAAUUGCUGAAAACUUG
ensembl:lncRNA